GUGCACCCAAGGAGUUCCAGAAACUGCUGAGCGAGGAAAGAACCCAGCUGGAGAAUGAAGCCAGUCCACGGAGGGGUAUAGAGUUGAAAGAAGAGUGCCGAAAUAGAAUUGUUACCACACAAAAUUGGGAUUCUCUUGCCUGUUGCACAAUUAACCACAACCAAUUAACCACGGCGUCAGCUUUUGGGAGAGAAAUCAGAUUUAUUCUGCGAGAUGGAUCUGCAGGGAGGCAGGGGGCAUGUGCCCUCUGAUCUGUCUCCUGAUUCAGGAUUUGGGGCAAAAUUUAAGAGGUCUCUAAACAUUCAUGAUGAGAAGGGGAAGGAAUUUUCACACGAGAUCUUCCUGAAUGAGGGACCACUUGCUUCUGAUGAGUCCAACUUUCAAGUUUUGAUCUAGUCCUGGUCCUUUGGUUCCAUGGGGAGAAGGAUCUUUGGUUCCAGGGUCAUUUCAGGUUAAGAUUUCUUCUGCUGCUCAUGCUCUGGCUAUGAGACUUUGCACGUUUUCUGAAAGGCAAUUUUUAAUCACUCUGUUGAAAAAAGAUGGGGUCAGUUGAGCUGGUCCUGGAUGGCCCCCAGUUACAGAGUCGAAGCCCUGACCAGCACACUCUUGAAUCCUGUUGCCACUGGAGUUUGCCCA
rnacentral:lncRNA from 1 species